UUUUAUGAGAGUUUGAUCCUGGCUCAGGACGAACGCUGGCGGCGUGCCUAAUACAUGCAAGUCGUACGCUUCUUUUUCCACCGGAGCUUGCUCCACCGGAAAAAGAAGAGUGGCGAACGGGUGAGUAACACGUGGGUAACCUGCCCAUCAGAAGGGGAUAACACUUGGAAACAGGUGCUAAUAC
rnacentral:rRNA from 2 species